rnacentral:rRNA from 1 species
UAAAGGAGAGAUCCGGCAUAGGAUGGACAUGCGUCGCAUUAGGUAGACGGCGGGGUAACGGCCCACCGUGCCGACGAUGCGUAGGGGUUCUGAGAGGAAGGCCCCCCACACUGGUACUGAGACACGGACCAGACUCCUACGGGAGGCAGCAGUGAGGAGUAUUGGUCAAUGGCCGAGAGGCUGAACCAGCCAAGUCGCGUGAGGGAAGAAUGUCCUAAGGAUUGUAAACCUCUUUUGUCGGGGAGCAAAAAGGCUCUGCGGAGUCGUAUUGAGAGUACCCGAAGAAAAAGCAUCGGCUAACUCCGUGCCAGCAGCCGCGGUAAUACGGAGGAUGCGAGCGUUAUCCGGAUUUAUUGGGUUUAAAGGGUGCGCAGGCGGCGUGUCAAGCAAGCGGUAAAAUAGCGGGGCUCAACCCCGUCGAGCCGUUUGAACUGGCGCGCUUGAGUUCAGGCGAGGUAGGCGGAAUUCGUGGUGUAGCGGUGAAAUGCAUAGAUAUCACGAAGAACUCCGAUUGCGAAGGCAGCUUACCAGUCUGCGACUGACGCUCAGGCACGAAAGUGUGGGUAUCGAACAGGAUUAGAUACCCUGGUAGUCCACACAGUAAACGAUGAGCGCUAGGUGUCCGGGUCGCAUGAGACUUGG